ACGACAGACCGCAACAUAUAGGGCAGGCCAAAUAACAUUUAUUUUGAUUUUUAUUUUUUUUAGUUUCAUAUAUAUUACUAGUCAUAUUUACCUAGUAAAGUCUUACAUUUAUAUGUAUGUAAAAGUUUUUAAUAGUUAAUAACUUUGAAAAAGUAUGCAACCUUUUAGAUAAAACUAGUUUGGUCAACACCAUUUGUGGAAAAUCUGAACAGUAAAUCUAAAAUAUUGGGUAUUUAUAUCCAAAAUAUUAACUACUGCAUCCAAAAUGUCAUAUAUAUUUUUUUAAUAUUUCAGGUCCAAACUAUUCAAUCACUCAUCCAUCCCCUUCCAUCAAAUAUUGUUUGAUGUCAGGGGUAUGGCUGGCUGGUUUGGUCCCUAUGCAAAG
rnacentral:lncRNA from 1 species